rnacentral:rRNA from 1 species
GAUGAACGCUGGCGGCGUGCCUAAUACAUGCCAGUCGAGCGAACGGACGCGACGCUUGCUUCUCUGAUGUUAGCGGCGGACGGGUGAGUCACACGUGGAUCCCCUACCUAUCUGACUGGUAUAACUUCGGGAAACCGUAGCUAAUACCGGAUAAUCUUUUGCACCGCAUGGUUCAAAAGUGAAAGACGGUCUUGCUGUCACUUAUAGCUGGAUCCGCGCUGCAUUAGCUAGUUGGUAAGGUAACGGGCUACCACGGCAACGAUGCAUAGCCGACGUGAGAGGGUGAUCGGCGACACUGGAACGGAGACACGGUCCAGACUCCUAAGGGAGGCAGCAGUAGGGAAUCGGCCGCAAUGGGCGAAAGCCUGACGGAGCAACGGCGAGUGAGAGGUGAAGGUCUUCGGAUCGUAAAACUCUGUUAUUAGUGAAGAACAGAUUUGUAAGUAGCUGUACACAGCUUGACGGUACCUAGUCAGAAAGCCACGGCUAACUACGUG